rnacentral:tRNA from 1 species
UGUGGUGGAUCCAGUGUUGGUACUGGAGGGCGACUGUUAAUCGCUUUGUCGCAGGUUCGAUUCCUGCCACCGCAG